rnacentral:rRNA from 1 species
UACGUAGGGCGCAAGCGUUGUCCGGAAUUAUUGGGCGUAAAGGGCGCGUAGGCGGCUCUGCACGUUCGUUGUGAAAUCGCCCGGCUCAACUGGGCGGGGUCAGCGGAUACGGCGGAGCUUGAGCAAGCUAGGGGGCAAUGGAAUUCCCGGUGUAGUGGUGGAAUGCGUAGAUAUCGGGAGGAACACCAGUGGCGAAGGCGGUUGCCUGGGGCUUUGCUGACGCUGAUGCGCGAAAGCGUGGGGAGCGAUCCGG